rnacentral:rRNA from 1 species
UGUCUGCUUGCAAAUUACGAGUAGUCUGGCCUGCCCACUGGAUUCCUAAAGGGCCGCGGUAUACUGACCGUGCAAAGGUAGCAUAAUAAUUAGUUCUUUAAUUGAGGGCUGGAAUGAAAGGUCUUACGAGAAGGUAGCUGUCUCUUUUAUAAAGUUUGAAUUUUACAUUUAAGUGAGAAGGCUUAAAUAAGAUAAAGGGACGAGAAGACCCUAUAAAACUUUACAGCUUAUUUCGAAAGUGGUCUAACUAAAUUAUGUGUAACGAUCCCUUUUGUUGUAGCUGUUUCGUUGGGGCAAUGGGCAUAAAAAUAAAUUAACUGUGUCUAUUUUUAUACAUUUCUGAAAUUUUAUGUUUGUAUUUAUACACGGUAGUGUUGGACGUUUAUUGAUACAUAUAUUGUAAUAUAAAUAAUUAUAAUUAGAUUAUUCUGAUCCCUUAGUAGGGAUUUAGAGAUUAAGUUACUUUAGGGAUAACAGCGUAAUUUCUCUUGAGAGUCCAAAUCGACAGAGUUAGUUGCGACCUCGAUGUUGAAUUAAGAUGUUAGCUAGGUGCAGGAGCCUAGAUAGUAGGUCUGUUCGACCUUUAAAAUCUUACAUGAUUUGAGUUCAAACCGGUGUAAGC